UUACGGGAGGCAGCAGUGGGGAAUUUUGGACAAUGGGGGCAACCCUGAUCCAGCCAUGCCGCGUGCGGGAAGAAGGCCUUCGGGUUGUAAACCGCUUUUAGCCGGGAAGAAAAGACUACGGAUAACACCCGUGGUUUUUGACGGUACCGGCGGAAUAAGCACCGGCUAACUACGUGCCAGCAGCCGCGGUAAUACGUAGGGUGCGAGCGUUAAUCGGAAUUACUGGGCGUAAAGCGUGCGCAGGCGGUUCGUUGUGUCGGCGGUGAAAGCCCCGGGCUUAACCUGGGAAUGGCCGUCGAAACUGGCGAACUGGAGUGUGGCAGAGGGGGGUGGAAUUCCGCGUGUAGCAGUGAAAUGCGUAGAGAUGCGGAGGAACACCGAUGGCGAAGGCAGCCCCCUGGGCUGACACUGACGCUCAGGCACGAAAGCGUGGGGAGCAAACAGGAUUAGAUACCCGAGUAGUCC
rnacentral:rRNA from 1 species